rnacentral:rRNA from 1 species
UUUAUGGAGAGUUUGAUCCUGGCUCAGGAUGAACGCUGGCGGCGUGCCUAAUACAUGCAAGUCGAGCGAACGGACGAGAAGCUUGCUUCUCUGAUGUUAGCGGCGGACGGGUGAGUAACACGUGGAUAACCUACCUAUAAGACUGGGAUAACUUCGGGAAACCGGAGCUAAUACCGGAUAAUAUUUUGAACCGCAUGGUUCAAAAGUGAAAGACGGUCUUGCUGUCACUUAUAGAUGGAUCCGCGCUGCAUUAGCUAGUUGGUAAGGUAACGGCUUACCAAGGCAACGAUGCAUAGCCGACCUGAGAGGGUGAUCGGCCACACUGGAACUGAGACACGGUCCAGACUCCUACGGGAGGCAGCAGUAGGGAAUCUUCCGCAAUGGGCGAAAGCCUGACGGAGCAACGCCGCGUGAGUGAUGAAGGUCUUCGGAUCGUAAAACUCUGUUAUUAGGGAAGAACAUAUGUGUAAGUAACUGUGCACAUCUUGACGGUACCUAAUCAGAAAGCCACGGCUAACUACGUGCCAGCAGCCGCGGUAAUACGUAGGUGGCAAGCGUUAUCCGGAAUUAUUGGGCGUAAAGCGCGCGUAGGCGGUUUUUUAAGUCUGAUGUGAAAGCCCACGGCUCAACCGUGGAGGGUCAUUGGAAACUGGAAAACUUGAGUGCAGAAGAGGAAAGUGGAAUUCCAUGUGUAGCGGUGAAAUGCGCAGAGAUAUGGAGGAACACCAGUGGCGAAGGCGACUUUCUGGUCUGUAACUGACGCUGAUGUGCGAAAGCGUGGGGAUCAAACAGGAUUAGAUACCCUGGUAGUCCACGCCGUAAACGAUGAGUGCUAAGUGUUAGGGGGUUUCCGCCCCUUAGUGCUGCAGCUAACGCAUUAAGCACUCCGCCUGGGGAGUACGACCGCAAGGUUGAAACUCAAAGGAAUUGACGGGGACCCGCACAAGCGGUGGAUGAUGUGGUUUAAUUCGAUGCAACGCGAAAAACCUUACCCACCUUUGACAUGUACGGAAUCCUUUAGAGAUAGAGGAGUGCUCGAAAGAGAGCCGUAACACAGGUGCUGCAUGGCUGUCGUCAGCUCGUGUCGUGAGAUGUUGGGUUAAGUCCCGCAACGAGCGCAACCCUUGCCAUUAGUUGCUACGAAAGGGCACUCUAAUGGGACUGCCGGUGACAAACCGGAGGAAGGUGGGGAUGACGUCAAGUCCUCAUGGCCCUUAUAGGUGGGGCUACACACGUCAUACAAUGGCUGGUACAGAGGGUUGCCAACCCGCGAGGGGGAGCUAAUCCCAUAAAGCCAGUCGUAGUCCGGAUCGCAGUCUGCAACUCGACUGCGUGAAGUCGGAAUCGCUAGUAAUCGCGGAUCAGAAUGUCGCGGUGAAUACGUUCCCGGGUCUUGUACACACCGCCCGUCACACCAUGGGAGCGGGUUCUGCCAGAAGUAGGUAGCCUAACCGUAAGGAGGGCGCUUACCACGGCAGGGUUCGUGACUGGGGUGAAGUCGUAACAAGGUAGCCGUAUCGGAAGGUGCGGCUGGAUCACCUCCUUU